rnacentral:rRNA from 1 species
AGCGAACGCUGGCGGCGUGCCUAAUACAUGCAAGUCGAGCGCAGGAAACUGACGGAACUCUUCGGAGGGAAGGCAGUGGAAUGAGCGGCGGACGGGUGAGUAACACGUAAGGAACCUGCCUCAAGGAUUGGGAUAACUCCGAGAAAUCGGAGCUAAUACCGGAUAGUUCAACGGACCGCAUGGUCCGCUGAUGAAAGGCGCUUCGGCGUCACCUUGAGAUGGCCUUGCGGUGCAUUAGCUAGUUGGUGGGGUAACGGCCCACCAAGGCGACGAUGCAUAGCCGACCUGAGAGGGUGAUCGGCCACACUGGGACUGAGACACGGCCCAGACUCCUACGGGAGGCAGCAGUAGGGAAUCUUCCACAAUGGACGAAAGUCUGAUGGAGCAACGCCGCGUGAGUGAUGAAGGUUUUCGGAUCGUAAAACUCUGUUGUAAGGGAAGAACACGUACGAGAGGAAAUGCUCGUACCUUGACGGUACCUUACGAGAAAGCCACGGCUAACUACGUGCCAGCCGCCGCGGUAA